GAUGAACGCUGGCGGCGUGCCUAAUACAUGCAAGUCGAGCGAACGGACGAGAAGCUUGCUUCUCUGAUGUUAGCGGCGGACGGGUGAGUAACACGUGGAUAACCUACCUAUAAGACUGGGAUAACUUCGGGAAACCGUAGCUAAACCCGGAUAAUAUUUUGAACCGCAUGGUUCAAAAGUGAAAGACGGUCUUGCUGUCACUAAUAGAGGGAUCCGCGCUGCAUUAGCUAGUUGGUAAGGUAACGGCUUACCAAGGCAACGAUGCAUAGCCGACCUGAGAGGGUGAUCGGCCACACUGGAACUGAGACACGGUCCAGACUCCUACGGGAGGCAGCAGUAGGGAAUCUUCCGCAAUGGGCGAAAGCCUGACGGAGCAACGCCGCGUGAGUGAUGAAGGUCUUCGGAUCGUAAAACUCUGUUAUUAGGGAAGAACAUAUGUGUAAGUAACUGUGCACAUCUUGACGGUACCUAAUCAGAAAGCCACGGCUAACUACGU
rnacentral:rRNA from 1 species